UUUAUGGAGAGUUUGAUCCUGGCUCAGGACGAACGCUGGCGGCGUGCCUAAUACAUGCAAGUCGAGCGCGG
rfam:Halobacillus karajensis, HD-03, WGS project CCDI01000000 data, contig: 000002